CAUAAGGCUAGGGAAGAGGGUUGCUAGAUAAUGUUUCCACCCCAGGUUUAACCUGUUCAUAGACAGAGAAACAAUUGGUGGAGGAACAGGCACUAAUGAGAACCAGCUGCCCAGGCAGAGACCCAGAAGAGGCACACAGCCAUCAUUCCCAGCCUUGAACAGUGCUCACACACACACACACACACAGGUGUUGAGUCAUGCAAACAUCUCUUAGAUCUGUGGGCUGAAGACGAAACGCUGCAAUCAGGACUGGCACACGGAAAUGAACUCCAGUGGAACCCCAUAAGAGAGUAUGCACAAUCUGUUUCUGCCCCAACCAUCAGUGGAAAAGGCCAUCACAGGUCCACCACUGACCACAUUAUUAGGGCAAUGGACCUUUCAGCACAUCAAGGACAUUGACAUGAGAUUAACUGCUUUAGUAGAAUAAACCAACGCAUCAAUAAGGAUGAGGAAGGAGAGAGUUGGAGUGUCAUCUUGAACAAGAGCCAAUGGUGUGGUGAACUGGUGUGUGUAGGAAGUCCUGCAAUGACCAGCAGCAUUCUACAGACUCAGUGGUUCACCCAAACACUGUUAUCGCAUUAAUGUUAGCCUCUACCUGGGUAGGAAGUCACUGACUGUCUAUUUAAUUGACUACAAUAUUAAAAAUAGAUUACUAUUUAUAAGCAUGGUCUUCAUAGCUAGUAAGUGUGAAGAAAGAAUAAUCAAGUCAUUAAUACACAGAAAGUUACAGCAAUUUGUACAGAAAAAGAAUAUUGAGUAGUCUGAUACUGAAGAGUUGUGUACAUACGAAACACAGUGUGCUUGGUUGCUCUCAUUUGUGUGUGUGUGUGUGUGUAUGUGUGUGUUAGCGCUUGGGAAUCACAGCAUGCUCGUCCAGAUUAAUUAUGCCACAAGAAGCAGGCAAGCCACAUGCCCAUCCUCUGAUGUGUUUUUCAUGUUAACACUUCACACUGCCUCAGGUACAUUACCCACUAGGAAUCACACAAAGCCCAUAGUCUUAUUUUUCUAUUAAAUUUUUAUACUUUUGUUUUUGCUCCCCCACCCAUUUUUUCCAUUUAGUUGGGUUGGGUUAUUUUUUGGCUCUCUUCAAACCUAAUGACUGAAAGGGAAAAUGAAUAAAUUGUGCAUAUAUGAAGAUAAAGAAAAAACAUAACCAUGUAUAUACGGAGAUGAAUGCAAUACAGGUGAGAAUAUUAAAUUGGACAGAUGCACUAGAAUAGUGUCUGGUUAGAGAGUUUGGCUGUUUUUCAGUACUUCACUGGUGAUGCCUGUGGCUGGUGGUGUGUUUGGUGCAGGCAUUAGAUGAAGUGACCUGGCUAGAUGACCCUGUUAUCAGCUCAGGUGUAAUUAAUGCCUGAGCAGGCAGCUCCAGGGGAAGCCUGAGGACAGUGGGCAGGACAGGGCUCCCCUGAGCCUGGCAUGCAUGGCCUUUACCUGGUCACAAACUACACAGCCUCAGGUGCCCACGAUAUAGCUGCACCUGUCACACUCAUGCCUUCCACUCCUGACCUUGCAAACAACAAUUCCCAUUAUCCUCAGCCCAAGACCUGAUCAUGAGUCACAAGACAAAAGAAACACAUUUCACCAUUCACAAUUCCCAGAUCACUGAUUGAUCACCUGGUAGAUUGACUACCAGACUUUGCAAAGCCUCACUGCAGCAUUGCACCUGUGAUGAUUCCAAGCUGGGCAAGCAGACACCUCAUGAUUAAACGAGAGAAAAUAAAGAUGCUAGCAAGACUCAAAUAAAGCCUUUUACAUGCAAUGAGAGGACAAAACAAUAUUGACCACUUGUUCAUUUCCCUUUUUGCCUGUAUUAAUGCACUUAACUAGCUGGCCAUGCAUUAUUACAUUACAUUAUCUACCACAUUUUAUCUUUAGGUUUCCAGAUAACAAAAGCAUGGAAUGGGCAAGCACUAUUGACCUUUUAGUUCCCCAUUGGGCUAGCUAAUAAAUUUAUGAUUUGUCCACCCCAGACACUAAUUAAAAUAUUUAAAAAGUGAAUGAACAUUAGUGCAGAUGAGUCAUCUUUGAGACGUCUAUAACUGGCAUAAACUAACUUUCAUUUGUCUCCUGAUUACUAGCACUUUCUCCAGCCAAGGUUGUUCAUUGUGGCUCUCUGUCAUUUAUACUACUAUUAGUACUUAAUUCAGAUCAAUUAAAUGUAGUCCUGUGGCACUUGUGCUGCACUUCUUAAAAGCUAUAGUUGUACUGUAUUCCAUCUGACUUGGAAAAAUUUUCUUCCAAUCUGUCUGACUUGUAAAUGAUUAGUAAUGCUAAGCCAGUCCCUCACUACUUCACUACUGUCUUGUCAUGGCUAACACUGAAUAACCACCUAUCUAAAGAACCUAAUGAAAACCCUUUAUCUAGUAGCAACUGUUUAGCUAAUGGAAACUGUUUCACAUUUUGCCAAUAACACAACGCUAUGUGCCCUUUUUAGGUUUCAUUCAUGCUUAAUAAAGUGUGACUUUUAGGGGAACUAUAGCUUUAAGCAGUAAUGUGACUCAAUCUUCUGCUUUGCAAGCACUUUGCUACUUUUUUUCAAACAUGGUUCUGUUCAGAGCAGCAGUACCAAGCAUGUGGAGCAAACACGCAUGCUUCAGCUUGUGCUCCACAACAGUUGCACUCUCUGCAUGGUGCUGCUUUCUCAGCAUCUCACACUGGCUGUAUUGGGAUGAGCAGCUCCACAAUGAGCUUGGUGAACAGAGCAGAUGUCUGAGAGCCACACAGGUGAGAAAGGGAGAGGACUGGCACCCAGCCGAUACCCAUUGCAACAUAAUGAAGGUCUUAAAUACAGAGAAGCAGAACUAAACCACACUGAUGGCAUCACAUACACAAACUAGGUAAUGAGUGCAGAAGGGAAUAUAUGUAACACCAUCAGUACUGUGUCAUGAGUUUUCAUAAAAGUAGUAUAAGCAGAAAUAUGAAAUGUACUUUACAUAAUGGCCAAAAAAAAAUAUACAUAAUUCUAUUCUGACAAUGUACUUAAGACAAUGUACUUGAUAAAGCUGUCACUUUAUCAUUGAACAGCAUCUUUUGGAAGUGUACAAACUUGUUCAGUUUUUAAUGUCGUUAGUUUUUAAUUUAACCUUCACUUGGAAGCUAUAUCACAUGAAAUGUAAUAACACAACCUUGUCCACAAAAACAUAAGUAUCACUUGUCAACUUGAGCAAAAUUGGCAAAAGCAGUUUUUAUAUCAGCUGACUGGGAUAAUGCAGACAUAUUCAAACAUUUUCCCCAUGAAGCCCACUUCCCACUUUUUUGAGAACUUGUGAACCUCAUAAACUGCCCAAAAAAUAAACAUGCUAAGAUA